rnacentral:rRNA from 1 species
UACGUAGGGUGCAAGCGUUGUCCGGAAUUAUUGGGCGUAAAGAGCUCGUAGGCGGUCUGUCGCGUCGGCUGUGAAAUCCCGAGGCUCAACCUCGGGUCUGCAGUCGAUACGAGCAAACUAGAGUGUUGCAGGGGAGACUGGAAUUCCUGGUGUAGCGGUGAAAUGCGCAGAUAGUCGGGAGGAACACCGGUGGCGAAGGCGGUUCUCUGGGCCUUACCUGACACUGAGGAGCGAAAGCGUGGGGAGCGAACAGG